rnacentral:rRNA from 1 species
GACGAACGCUGGCGGCGUGCUUAACACAUGCAAGUCGAACGGAAAGGCCCUGCUUUUGUGGGGUGCUCGAGUGGCGAACGGGUGAGUAACACGUGAGUAACCUGCCCUUGACUUUGGGAUAACUUCAGGAAACUGGGGCUAAUACCGGAUAGGAGCUCCUGCUGCAUGGUGGGGGUUGGAAAGUUUCGGCGGUUGGGGAUGGACUCGCGGCUUAUCAGCUUGUUGGUGGGGUAGUGGCUUACCAAGGCUUUGACGGGUAGCCGGCCUGAGAGGGUGAGCGGCCACACUGGAACUGAGAAACGGUCCAGACGCAGACGGGAGGCAGCGGGGGGGAAUAUUGGACAAUGGGCGCAAGCCGGAUCAAGCCAUACCGCGUGGGUGAAGAAGGCCUUCGGGGUGUAAAGCCCUUUUGUUGGGAAAGAAAAGCAGCAGGUUAAUACCCCGCUGUUCUGACGGUACCCAAAGAAUAAGGACCGGCUAACUUCGUG